rnacentral:lncRNA from 1 species
GAAACCUUCAGGCUUUGCAAAGAUACAAUGAUCUCUAUAAAAACAUAGCAACACAAGAGAAAUUUGAGUUGUUAUAUGUUCACAAUAUGUACAUCUAUGUAGAGAUAGAUAUUUUUGUUUUCUUGUUUCCUUUCUGUUCCAGCAACUAUAAAUUUUAUGUUGGCCUCAGACUCUACAACAGAACAUAGCUGGAUGCAUAAGAGAAGAACAGAAGAGAAAUACCAAAUCGGUCUCCUUGAAGCAUCAUACAAUAAUAACAGUAUUACUUAACAAUCCAGAUAUCAAGUGGUUUGAAGUACAAGUGAUAUUCAACAUCUUUUAUAACCAGCCUGGUCAGAAAAAGGCAGGCCACUGAGUAUUACCUGUUGAACGUUACCUAUAGAUGGAAAAUCUCCUUGGAUCACCAACAACACUGAAUAGGCAGCUGUUUUAAUGCUAUUUCAGGUGAAGGCUGUGAAUCUAAUUCAACAAUAAAAUUUAUACACAUUUUAUUAGAAUACA